UGGAGAAAUAAAAGAAUUGCCUGUUGUGGGACCAGACUUAGAAUUUACCCUCAGCGUCAGAGCUGGAGUCCUCAGUCUUAUAGAAAAACAAGGUCGCAAACGUGACUCUGGCGAAUGAAGACAAACAGCUGUCACCCUAGACUAAGGACGCGCCAGCGGAAGACCUGUGCGGUCCGUGCAAGAAGAGAGUCCGCCAGAACCUUGAGCCUGCAUUAAAAGACCCUGGUGUUUCUCAUGGCCUCCUAGAUAGGAAAGACGGAAUGGCCGUCGACUUGAUCUGGACACAUAUGAUGCUGGCUCUGCUGAGACCUGGGUCUUGGUUCUAGAGAAGAAAGCUAAGUGUUUUGAGGAGUGUUUUUAUUUAUUAUUAUUAUUUUUUUUUUUUUUUUACCGAGCGGAGCGAUGGCGGCGGCGCACCGGAAGUGGCACGCCGGAAGCCCGGUGGGCGUGCCGGAGACGUGUCUUACUGGGAGCCUUGGAGCCGCUUCGCCGGUGUCUGGACCUGGAAGGCUGUGUCUGUUCCUCCUGCGCUUCGUGGGCCCAGCGAGGCAGCGUGGGGAGGCGGCGACGACGGCGACGGCGGCGGUCCGGCCUGGGAUCGGAGGCCACCGGGAGCCCAGCCAUGGCCGACUCGGUGGAGCGGCUGCGACAGCGGGUUGAGGAGCUGGAGCAGGAACUCGCCCGGGAGAGAACCCGGCGCUCUGGAGGGGACGGCCACUGCGGCCGGACCCGCAUCCAGGAGAUGAGCGACGAGGUGUUGGAUUCCAAUCCCUACAGCCGUCUGAUGGCAUUGAAACGGAUGGGAAUUGUCAGUGACUAUAAGAAAAUCCGUACCUACGCUGUAGCAAUAGUAGGUGUUGGUGGAGUUGGUAGUGUGACUGCUGAAAUGCUGACAAGAUGUGGCAUUGGUAAGCUGCUGCUCUUUGACUAUGAUAAGGUGGAGCUGGCCAACAUGAAUCGGCUUUUCUUCCAGCCAUAUCAAGCAGGACUGAGUAAGGUCCACGCAGCAGAACACACCCUGAGGAACAUUAACCCUGAUGUUCUGUUUGAAGUCCACAACUACAAUAUCACCACAGUGGAACACUUUGAACAUUUCAUGAAUAGAAUAAGUAAUGGUGGAUUAGAAGAAGGACAACCUGUUGACCUAGUUCUUAGCUGUGUGGACAACUUUGAAGCUCGAAUGGCAAUAAAUACAGCUUGUAAUGAACUUGGUCAGACAUGGAUGGAAUCUGGGGUCAGUGAAAAUGCAGUUUCCGGGCACAUCCAGCUGAUGAUCCCUGGAGAGUCGGCUUGCUUCGCGUGUGCGCCACCACUUGUAGUUGCUUCAAAUAUUGAUGAAAAAACCCUGAAACGAGAAGGCGUCUGCGCAGCCAGUCUCCCCACCACCAUGGGGGUGGUGGCCGGGAUCUUGGUACAAAAUGUACUAAAGUUUCUGUUAAAAUUUGGCACUGUCAGUUUUUACCUUGGAUACAAUGCAAUGCAGGAUUUUUUCCCUACCAUGUUCAUGAAGCCAAACCCUCAGUGUGAUGACAAAAACUGUAGAAAGCAACAAGAAGAAUACAAGAUCAAAUGCCUGUGUGAAUUCCUGAGUGCUGCAGAGAACUGAGGAGUAACCCGUGUUGGUUCUGCUUGCUUUACACAGAAGAGGGCAGCAGCACUGCCCACGCAGGAGGCUGAGCCCCAGGAGGAGGCAGAGGUGGUUCAUGAGGACAACGAGUGGGGCAUUGAGCUGGUGUCUGAGGUUUCAGAAGAGGAACUGAAGAACUCUUCAGGUCCUGUUCCCACCUUACCUGAAGGCAUUACAGUGGCAUACACAGUCCCAAAGAAGACGGAGGAUUCGGCUUCUGAAGUAACAGUGGAAGACUCCGGCGAAAGCUUGGAAGAUCUUAUGGCCAGGAUGAAGAAUAUGUAGACAGUGGCUGGCUUCUGUCUUAUUUUCUCUGCUUAUGCUAGUCCCUUGGAAUUGAACAAUCGGAACUAAUAAAACUUAGCGCCGCCUUAGUUGGCAUGUGUAUCUUCACGGAGUUGUUAUGCUGUGUGGAACUAGUGGUUUCCUCCUGCUUCCGUAUACAACCUAAUCAGUACCACAGCGACAGAAAGAGAAGGGGUGGACCAUCCCAUCCGUGUCUGUGGCCUACGGCUCUGGACGAUAAAUAGCACAAAUGGAGGAUGGACUGACUGUGUGGCCUGGUGGCUGUGGCUGACAGGUGUCUGAGUGAAUGGCUUCCUACUGGACAGUUACUCACUACUACUCUGACCAGGAGUGACUUUAAACAGCCUAUAGAAUAAAAACAUCAAUGUAAAUGAGCUAAAUACCUAAUAAAAAAUGGAAAAAAAAAAAAGAAAAGAAUAAAAACAUGCCUCAGAUAAUUCUGGAUGAAAUUGAAGCAGAAUGUCUUCAUUGGUAGUGUAUAAACCCAUGGAUUGAAUAUUUAAGAUGAAGCAUAGAUAAAAGCAAGCUAUGUUCACGGCAGACAGAAUUACGUUCAGGAAACAUUGGUUAUCCUCAGAUUUUCAUCGAUCAAGGAAAAGGCAUCGCUCUCUGUAGCGGAAGUGUCUGGUCACCAUGUUACUGAAGAACAGACACCGUCCAUACUUUGUGCAUCAUAGAGUGUUCCUCCAUACUUGAUUCCAUAAAUACUGACAUGCUAGCAAGGCUUGUCUGAGUGGUGGGCAAAACAACUCAAACCUGCCUCUGCAGAGGUGCACAGGUAUUUAUUCCCUGCAAGGGCUCCAUUUCCCAAGUGUGACCACUUCAAUUGUAAACCGAGGCCUGAUGUGAACUAUUGGUGGUUUAACCUUGAAGAUAGGAAAUGUAUCAUUAUGAAUGUCUAAAUUCUAUGUAUUGAGAAAUGUUAGUAGCAAGAGUUAAAAGUGCCAUUCCCACUUGUAAAAUAAAGUUGUAAAGACUCAAUGCACCUGCUUUGA